rnacentral:lncRNA from 1 species
UCCAGAGUGUAGUAGCACUGCUUCAGUUCCUCCAUGUACGAAAUUUCAUCCUUGCCGAAUAUAGACAGGAGCGCCACAUUCAAUGCAUACUGAAAAAGGGUAGCACACGAGGUACGGGAGUAGAGUGAGAAUCACCAUUCCAACUACACAGUAUGUUGCCAUGUUGGGGGCAGAAAGGGUGUCUAUUUGGACCGAAAAAGAUGCCAACAAAAUCCAACUGAAUCAAAACUUUUAAUUUUUUUGCAAACUGGUUUGAUUUGGGUUCCCAAUUUUCUGAAGACCAAAUUUUCCAAACCUUUCAUCUCAAUCUUUCCCUUCCUACCACCCCCUAAAGCUCGCUGCCGUGCCGCCUCUUCCAUUUUUUUUAAUUUUAUUUUUGUUUUUGCAUAUGGAAUGUUUUGUCGACUUUGAUCNUUUUUAGUCCUUGGAUGGAGAGAUGUGAGGUUGAGAUGAUGGGGGUAGGUGGUGGUAGGUGGAAUGGUGUUUGAUCCAAGGGCUAUUUGUAAUCAAAAAGUAGAUCUAAUGGCUAAAAAAGUGAUAGCAACAUGGGGAUGAUACUUGUAAAAGUAUUCUAGAUCAACUCUAUAUAUAUAUAUAUUUAAAAAAAAAAAACUCGCUCAACCGGUUUGGUAAACUGACUUGAAACCGGAAAACGGAUCAACCGGGGUCCGGGACAGGUUUGAAAUUUUCCCGGUUCGGGACCAAAUUUUUGGCCGGUUUCACCCCUGGACAAGAGUGGCGGUGGGAAGAAGAAGAUUGGGGGACUGACCGUCUUCAUCUCCUGGAAGGUGUUGACCAUGCGGCCGUCCCAGGAGCGGAGGGCGCAGAGGGCGACGGAUUCAAUGUUGGGGACGAAGCCUCGGAUUCCGUCUGGCAUGAAGGCGCGGAGGACGAGGCGUCUGAGGCGG